AUGCUUCUAACUACUUGCACUAUAUAUAACCACAAGUCAGAAAAAGCCACGGGUGCUGGUAUGUUUAAUCAUAUUGUGUUACUUACUGCUAAAAUCAUUUCCUGCUUGAAACUUAUAUUGAAAGAGGCUCGCUUGCAAAGUGUUUGUUUUAUGCAUAUGCUGUAUGUUGAAAAUGCUAAUACCACGUGGAAGACACAAGUCAUAGAAAAGUCUCUUGUUGCAACCAAAAUGGAGAACCAAAUGCUCAAGAAAAUAUGA